rnacentral:rRNA from 1 species
AUUGAACGCUGGCGGAAUGCUUUACACAUGCAAGUCGAACGGCAGCACGGACUUCGGUCUGGUGGCGAGUGGCGAACGGGUGAGUAAUGUAUCGGAACGUGCCCAGUCGUGGGGGAUAACGUAGUGAAAAUUACGCUAAUACCGCAUACGAUCUAUGGAUGAAAGCGGGGGAUCGCAAGACCUCGCGCGAUUGGAGCGGCCGAUAUCAGAUUAGGUAGGUGGUGGGGUAAAAGCCCACCAAGCCAACGAUCUGUAGAUGGUCUGAGAGGGCGACCAGCCACACUGGAACUGCGACACGGUCCAGACUCCUACGGGAGGCAGCAGUGGGGAAUUUUGGACAUUGGGCGAAAGCCUGAUCCAGCCAUUCCGCGUGCAGGAUGAAGGCCCUCGGGUUGUAAACUGCUUUUGUACAGAACGAAAAGGUUUCUACUAAUACUAGGAGCUCAUGACGGUACUGUAAGAAUAAGCACCGGCUAACUACGUGCCAGCCGCCGCCGUAA